UGAAAAGCUUGUAAUCCUUUUGGAAGGAUUGCUUGGCUUUCCGGACUUCAUCGGAAAGUAAUUGUGGAUGGUGCGGUUGUUUUGACCUCUGCGGGUUGCAAUGGGGUUGUGCGGGGCGGAGCGGGGGGAGGGGGAGAGAAAGCACGAGAGCGAGCGAGGCGAGGCGCUCGGCCGUUGCAACCCUUGCCGGCGCGUGCAUCUCUUUGGGGGGGGGGAAGAGGUGUGCGUGCGUGUGCACGCACACACACACAUACAGCGCGCACACAGCGAUUAAUUUUUCAGCCACUCAAACUUGACGUGAUAUUUUCGAGGGGGUAACACCCGUGAUUUCAUUAGACUUUUAAAAAAAGAAAAAAAAAACACGCGAAGAAAAAGCAGCAAGCAGCCGCCGCCUCCUCGGCGUUACUCCUUCCUCCCCCUCCCCCUCCUCCCUUCCCCCCCCGCCUUCUUCUCCAUUGAGGACAGGCCGCGACGGUGCAGCCGACGGAGGAGCCGGGCGCGCGAGAUGCUCUUUUGUGCCGGCAGCGGCGGCGGGGUUGCUAAAGACGAGAACCGGGGUGAUCCCCAGUGCUACUUCUCCUCCGACUUCUGCCAGCAGCCAACAGUCGGGCGCUAUUGCCCUAUGGAGAGCCAUUUCCUUUAGCCACUGGCAUCGAAAGGGAGCCUCGGCGCAGUGCCGAAGACCGCAUCCACAGAAAAACUUCACAGCCGCCGCCGAGGUCAAUUUGCCCAGAUUUCUUUGGCCCCGGAUGGCAUUCAGUUCCAUCCAGUAAGGCGCAGCAGUAGCCCUCUCGCCCAUCAGAACCACUCCGGAUUGGACGCCCGUUUAAAUGCUUCCAAGUUAAAAUCGUAGUGAUGUUUCUAUGGUUGUUGGGUUGUCUCGCUGUUCCUCUUUUUCCAUCUUCUCCUCCUCCUCCUUCUCCUCUUCCUUCUUCUCGUCCUCAUCUUAACGGCACAGGAACUGUAGCGAACCAGAUGGGCUGUCCUAACUCUCCAGGGAAUGGGCAGGUGCUACUGAGUUAAUAUUUUCCGCUUUACAAAGCAAAUUGACACGCAUCCUUCCCCCUUUCAUUUGUGCAGAUCACUCCACCCAAGAAAGAAAUAUCUUUCUCUCUAGAUCAAACCCCUUGCUUAAUUGA
rnacentral:lncRNA from 1 species